rnacentral:lncRNA from 1 species
AUUUAAAAUCAUGAUGAAUCCAAAAGUCCUCUUCAAUUCACGUUGAAGAAGUUCUCUCAAGGGAUAAAGAAAAGAAGCCAUCAUCAAGAAUGGCGAUUCAAACCAAAGGCUGUGCUCUAAAACUCUACUCUAUUUAAAUUUAAAUUCAUUACCGUAGUUCAAUUGCUAGUCUUUAUGCUCUAAUAUGUUUCUCUUAAACUUGUCACAUUCUUAAAAUUUUCUUUGAUAUUCCUCAUAGCAUACACUUAUAUAUUCUUCUUUAUCACUUGUUUAAAGGGUAAAGGAGACUAUGAGAGCCUCAAAGAAAUUCGAGAAGUGCAAGAUUGGAGAUCAUGAGAAGCGAGUCAAAGGCAGUGUAGCGGUUCAAAGACUUGAAGAGAAGAGAGCCGGUUCUUUACAAACCAAGAUCAUAGCGACAUCAAGGACCGUGAAGGCUAUACUCUUUUUCCCUUAACAAAGUUUUAUCCCAAGUGGUUUUCUUUGUUAAGGUUUUUAAUGAGGUAGUCGACACGAGUCCACGCUUGAUCUCUGGUCCUCAU